rnacentral:rRNA from 1 species
GACGAACGCUGGCGGCGUGCCUAACACAUGCAAGUCGAGCGAAGUGAGUACUACGGUACGAACUUAGCGGCGGACGGGUGAGUACGCGGUGGAAAAUCUCCCUUGCAGAUUGGGUUAACACUCCGAAGGGGGGGUUAAUACCGAAUAAGUCCGAGAGGGGGAUUGGCUUUUGGAAAAAAGGAGGAAAUCCGCGAAAGGGGGGGGCCGCGCCCCAUAAGUUAGUUGGUGAGGGUAAGGGCCCACAAAGGCGACGAUGGGUAGCCGGCCUGAGGGGGUGAACGGCCACACGGGAAGUGAAACACGGUCCAGACUCCUACGGGAGGCAGCAGUGGGGAAUAUUGUGCAAUGGGGGAAACCCUGACACAGCAACGCCGCGUGAGCGAAGAAGGCCUUCGGGUUGUAAAGCUCAAUAGUAUGGGAAGAUAAUGACGGUACCAUACGAAAGCCCCGGCUAACUACGUGCCAGCCGCCGCCGUAAUAC